UGGUCAUUGACGGGUCAAAAGACGCAACGAGGAAGAGCAUCGGAGCCAAUUAAGCGAAACUGCGUCGCGGAUUUGCUCGAGUUCGUCUACUCUUUCCAUUCGAAGUCAGUUUUAAAUCGCGUUAAUCGACGAACCGCCAAUUCGGUCAAAGGACACAUUCUGCUUUUAUUUGUGAUCAAUUCGCGAUCGAUGUUACCUCUUAGGCUUCGUCAAGUAACAUCACGUUGAAACGGAAGUUACGGUAUUAGUUUUCGUAGGACUUUCAAAUAGGCAACACAAUGAAGAUAACAACAAUCAAAAGCUGCGAAGAAACGAGACACGUAUUCGCGGAUCAGUGGAUUCAAAUUCAAUGUCUUCUUAAGCCCGAUAUAAUCAUCGCGCUUUGAAUGGACCUCAACGAUGUGGAUUCGACGCUAUUACCAGUUUCUCUGCAAAAAUCUCAACAAUGCGUAACCUGGUUGGAACUUGAGGCACACGUGCAUAAAACUCUUGAAAAUAUCUAGGGUAUUGUGUUCGACCAGCGCAAAGAGUUUCCCAAGAAUUACGCCGACCAAUGCUGAAACGCUUCAUAGAAAUCGGAUGCGUACUCGUUUGCACGGACAUGAUCGCGUCCGCCACAUCGACGAGCAUCGAUCACUCGGCCAGCUAUCAGAAUUCGGCCAAGAAAGUGGACGUCGGAAAGGCGUCGGAAUUCCCCGGUAAUAAGAGCUCGCUGAAGAUGUUGGAGGACAUCACGGCGAAAGUCUGGAGAGUUUUGCCGGUCGUCGAAAUUCCUCGGAAUUGGGUGCUCGCUUACUGUAUGAAGCAAACGGAGAUCUUCGAACAAGUGGAAAAAGCCGGUAUGCAGUGCCAGUACGACGGUAUGGACUGGGAUUGCACGUUCAUCGAAUUGAACAUUUGAAUUCUGAGGAGCAAAAUGAACUGGAUCGACUACAUUUAACAGUGACAACGAAAACACGCGACGAUUUAGAAGAAUAUCCGUUAAAUGAAGAACGAACGGAGUUAACUCGUCUCCAAGAAGUCGGAUUAUGCAUAUCACGGGAAACUGCAAGAGCCUGCGAAUCCAUUGUCCUCGACGCCGUCGAAAAAUUAAUAUGAAGAAAUAUAUGUAUACAUAUAACCUUGAAAUAUGAAAUAUCUCAGAAAGUUUUGCCGCCUAUCGUAACAAACGAACAAACAAACAGAAACUCUCACGACGAAUAAGCAUCUAUCUUCAAAAUACCGCGUGACAGCAAACGAUAGCGUGAAAAUAAAAUCACAACAAAUGACAUGAAUUAUUUGACUCACUGAAUAUACAUACCCUGUUCUAAAUGCUACUACAAUAUUGCUUUCGUCACGCCUGCUUUCUUGACAAUCUUCAUUGCUUUCAAUUAAUCGUGUCUGGACAGCGUCAACAAAUUACACAAUUUUGUGGAUAAAAUUUUGAAAUACUCGCAUAUCAAUAAUGAUCGUCUCCGUAACAGGUGCGAAUGUAUUUUUCACACAGCUAAUACACGUGUAAAUAUCAAAUAUCUGUGUAAAUAUCAAAUAUCUGUGCUAUCUUGUAUACAUACGAAGAUUGAGUACGUAACAUGGAUUUAGGAUUGGCAUUAAUGUUAUCAAUAAUUGACGUUUACCAAAUCAUAAGUGUACCCGUUCAGAAUAUGUACACUGGCAUUGAUAAAGCUGACACGAAUCUUGUUCAAGCAUAUCCUAUACUUGUACCAUCGAACUUGGUAAAUAAGUAUGUGUACAACACCGUUUAUAAUUAUUCGCACGACUUUAAACAAUUAAAUGAUGCAACAUUAUGCACACUAGAUAAAAUCAUUCUAUAUUGCAAGCCUGCAGACAAUUUGAUUGCCUGCAUUUUAUAAGAUCUGCAGUUCUAGGAAUUACAUAGCUUACUGCCUGAUUCAUCUAACAAGCUUCAGGUGUAUAUAAACCUGUUAUACAACAAAACAUUUUUUUUUUAAGUAACGUAGGUAUGCUUUCCUUGCAAAAACGAAAUAAAUUGUACAAAAUUCUCUUGUUCAAAUAAUUAUGGACGGUAUUGUAUAAUGUAUAAAAAAGGACAUCAUCCGGUUACAAAGGAUUAAAAACGUAUUGCAUCUCAGGAUUAAAUAAUUUGAAAAAAUAUAUUUUUUGUCGUACUUAACACUGAAGAGAUUCGUAUGUAAUUUAGUAGAGAUAUUUUUCUGUUGAAUCGCUAAUUUAUGACUUUCACGAAUAAGCAACGUAUCGUGUUUGCUAUUAAGCAUUUCGGAUGUAAAUUGAAUCCUUCUGCAAGAUCAUCUGAACGUUUCGUCAAUGUUACCAGAAUUGAUAUACAGAUACCUAUUGUUAUUUGAUCCCUCGACGAAGCUAAGUAUAAUAUUAACGAAACGGUGAGACAUUCUUAUCAAACAGAGGCUAAAGCCUCAACGACCCAUAGCGUAAUCACACCCACGCGAAUGCAAAUAUUUCUUUAUUUGUGUAAAUAACAGCUACAAUAUUUGCUAGGUAAUUCAAAUCUGCUUGAAGGACACGCUUUUUCUUGAGAAAUUACUUGACAAUGUGAACGAUUGCGAUAGUUAUACUUGCAUGUUCUCGAAAAUGAUCGAGAACGAGUCAAUGAAAUCCAUCUCUGCUAUAAUAAAAAACGAUACAAUGGACAACGGUAUUCAGGGGUUUAGACAAACAGUACAAGAUUGUGUAUUGUGGUGGAAGCUAUUCAAACGCUUCAACAAGAACGCAAAUCCUCGACAUGAACUGGGCAAAUGUUUGUUUCAAACAACUUCGACUAAAUGUAGAGAACCAGUUCUAGAUAAAAUUAAAUUCUUACUAAGUCCCACUAAAGAAGAAUGAACAUAUUGUUUGGAACAACGUAAAACUUAAAAAUAAUGGAACGCGGAUGGAAUGAGUAAUGUUAUUACAUAAAAACAAUGCAUGAUAAGGUAAUAAACAACUAUAUUUCUGUAUAAAAUGGAACAAAUCGCAUACACAUAGUCAUUCACAUUCUUAAUUUACUUCUUUCGUUAACGACAAGAAGAAAUAACAAUCUAAUUAGU